UCCGUCCCAUAUUACUUGUCGCUUUGACUUUUUUCUUGUAACGUUUGACCAUUCGUUUUAUUUAAAAAAUAAGUGCAAAUAUAGAAAAGAAUAAAUCAUACUUAAAGGACAUUUGAUAAUAAAACAAGUCACAAACAAAAUAAAUAAUAAUUCCAAAUGUGUUUGAAUAAGACGAAUGAUCAAAUAUUACAAACAAAAUCUCAAAGCGACAAGUAAUAUGGGACGGAUGU
rnacentral:misc_RNA from 1 species